rnacentral:rRNA from 1 species
GAUGAACGCUGGCGGCGUGCCUAAUACAUGCAAGUCGAGCGAACAGACGAGGAGCUUGCUCCUCUGGCGUUAGCGGCGGACGGGUGAGUAACACGUGGAUAACCUACCUAUAAGACUGGGAUAACUUCGGGAAACCGGAGCUAAUACCGGAUAAUAUAUUGAACCGCAUGGUUCAAUAGUGAAAGACGGUUUUGCUGUCACUUAUAGAUGGAUCCGCGCCGCAUUAGCUAGUUGGUAAGGUAACGGCUUACCAAGGCAACGAUGCGUAGCCGACCUGAGAGGGUGAUCGGCCACACUGGAACUGAGACACGGUCCAGACUCCUACGGGAGGCAGCAGUAGGGAAUCUUCCGCAAUGGGCGAAAGCCCGACGGAGCAACGCCGCGUGAGUGAUGAAGGUCUUCGGAUCGUAAAACUCUGUUAUUAGGGAAGAACAAAUGUGUAAGUAACUAUGCACGUCUUGACGGUACCUAAUCAGAAAGCCACGGCUAACUACGUG